rnacentral:rRNA from 1 species
CGGCAAAAGCUCAAAUUUGAAAUCUGGCACCUUCGGUGUCCGAGUUGUAAUUUGAAGAAGGUAACUUUGGAGUUGGCUCUUGUCUAUGUUCCUUGGAACAGGACGUCACAGAGGGUGAGAAUCCCGUGCGAUGAGAUGCCCAAUUCUAUGUAAAGUGCUUUCGAAGAGUCGAGUUGUUUGGGAAUGCAGCUCUAAGUGGGUGGUAAAUUCCAUCUAAAGCUAAAUAUUGGCGAGAGACCGAUAGCGAACAAGUACAGUGAUGGAAAGAUGAAAAGAACUUUGAAAAGAGAGUGAAAAAGUACGUGAAAUUGUUGAAAGGGAAGGGCUUGAGAUCAGACUUGGUAUUUUGCGAUCCUUUCCUUCUUGGUUGGGUUCCUCGCAGCUUACUGGGCCAGCAUCGGUUUGGAUGGUAGGAUAAUGACUAAGGAAUGUGGCUCUACUUCGGUGGAGUGUUAUAGCC